CGUAGAGUUUGGGACCUGGCUCAGAUUGAACGCUGGCGGCAGGCCUAACACAUGCAAGUCGAGCGGUAACACAGAGAGCUUGCUCUCGGGUGACGAGCGGCGGACGGGUGAGUAAUGUCUGGGAAACUGCCUGAUGGAGGGGGAUAACUACUGGAAACGGUAGCUAAUACCGCAUAACGUCGCAAGACCAAAGUGGGGGACCUUCGGGCCUCAUGCCAUCAGAUGUGCCCAGAUGGGAUUAGCUAGUAGGUGGGGUAAUGGCUCACCUAGGCGACGAUCCCUAGCUGGUCUGAGAGGAUGACCAGCCACACUGGAACUGAGACACGGUCCAGACUCCUACGGGAGGCAGCAGUGGGGAAUAUUGCACAAUGGGCGCAAGCCUGAUGCAGCCAUGCCGCGUGUAUGAAGAAGGCCUUCGGGUUGUAAAGUACUUUCAGCGAGGAGGAAGGCGUUAAGGUUAAUAACCUUGGUGAUUGACGUUACUCGCAGAAGAAGCACCGGCUAACUCCGUGCCAGCAGCCGCGGUAAUACGGAGGGUGCAAGCGUUAAUCGGAAUUACUGGGCGUAAAGCGCACGCAGGCGGUCUGUCAAGUCGGAUGUGAAAUCCCCGGGCUCAACCUGGGAACUGCAUUCGAAACUGGCAGGCUAGAGUCUUGUAGAGGGGGGUAGAAUUCCAGGUGUAGCGGUGAAAUGCGUAGAGAUCUGGAGGAAUACCGGUGGCGAAGGCGGCCCCCUGGACAAAGACUGACGCUCAGGUGCGAAAGCGUGGGGAGCAAACAGGAUUAGAUACCCUGGUAGUCCACGCCGUAAACGAUGUCGACUUGGAGGUUGUGCCCUUGAGGCGUGGCUUCCGGAGCUAACGCGUUAAGUCGACCGCCUGGGGAGUACGGCCGCAAGGUUAAAACUCAAAUGAAUUGACGGGGGCCCGCACAAGCGGUGGAGCAUGUGGUUUAAUUCGAUGCAACGCGAAGAACCUUACCUACUCUUGACAUCCAGAGAACUUAGCAGAGAUGCUUUGGUGCCUUCGGGAACUCUGAGACAGGUGCUGCAUGGCUGUCGUCAGCUCGUGUUGUGAAAUGUUGGGUUAAGUCCCGCAACGAGCGCAACCCUUAUCCUUUGUUGCCAGCGGUCCGGCCGGGAACUCAAAGGAGACUGCCAGUGAUAAACUGGAGGAAGGUGGGGAUGACGUCAAGUCAUCAUGGCCCUUACGAGUAGGGCUACACACGUGCUACAAUGGCAUAUACAAAGAGAAGCGACCUCGCGAGAGCAAGCGGACCUCAUAAAGUAUGUCGUAGUCCGGAUUGGAGUCUGCAACUCGACUCCAUGAAGUCGGAAUCGCUAGUAAUCGUAGAUCAGAAUGCUACGGUGAAUACGUUCCCGGGCCUUGUACACACCGCCCGUCACACCAUGGGAGUGGGUUGCAAAAGAAGUAGGUAGCUUAACCUUCGGGAGGGCGCUUACCACUUUGUGAUUCAUGACUGGGGUGAAGUCGUAACAAGGUAACCGUAA
rnacentral:rRNA from 1 species